rnacentral:rRNA from 1 species
CCAACCGGGAUUGCCUCAGUAACGGCGAGUGAAGCGGCAACAGCUCAAAUUUGAAAUCUGGCCCGCCUCGGCAGGUCCGAGUUGUAAUUUGGAGAGGGUGCUUCGGGUACGGCGUCGGCCUAAGUGCCCAGGAACAGGCCGUCAGAGAGGGUGAGAACCCCGUCCGCGGCCGGCGACCACGCCCGCACGAAGCCCCUUCGACGAGUCGAGUUGUUUGGGAAUGCAGCUCCAAAUGGGUGGUAAAUUCCAUCUAAAGCUAAAUACCGGCCGGAGACCGAUAGCGCACAAGUAGAGUGAUCGAAAGAUGAAAAGCACUUUGGAAAGAGAGUCAAACAGCACGUGAAAUUGUUGAAAGGGAAGCGCUGACGAGCAGACCUGUGCUUCGGCGAUCACCCGGGGGGCGUCGCCCCCGGGGCACUCGCCUGGAGAGCAGGCCAGCAUCGGUUGGCCCGGCGGGACAAAGGGCCCGGGAACGUAGCUCGCCUGCGGGGGAGUCUUAUAGCCCGGGCUGGCAUGUCGCCUGGGUCGACCGAGGACCGCGCUCCGGCUCGGAUGCUGGCGUAAUGGUCGUCAGCGACCCGUCUUGAAACACGGACCAAGGAGUCUAACAUCUAUGCGAGUGUUUGGGUGUCAAACCCCCGGACGCGGAAUGAAAGUGAACGGGGGUGGGAGCCCUUUCGGGGGCGCACCAUCGACCGAUCCUGAUGUCUUCGGAUGGAUUUGAGUAGGAGCAUAGCUGUUGGGACCCGAAAGAUGGUGAACUAUGCCUGAAUAGGGUGAAGCCAGAGGAAACUCUGGUGGAGGCUCGCAGCGGUUCUGACGUGCAAAUCGAUCGUCGAAUUUGGGUAUAGGGGCGAAAGACCAAUCGAACCAUCUAGUAGCUGGUUCCUGUCGAAGUUUCCCUCAGGAUAGCAGUAACGUUCCCCAGUUUUAUGAGGUAAAGCGAAUGAUUAGAGGCCUUGGGGUCGCAACGACCUUAACCUAUUCUCAAACUUUAAAUAUGUAAGAAGUCCCUGUUGCUUCGGUGAACGGGGACCGUCGAAUGGGUCGUUAUUAGUGGGCCAUUUUUGGUAAGCAGAACUGGCGAUGCGGGAUGAACCGAACGCGAGGUUAAGGUGCCGGAAUGCACGCUCAUCAGACACCACAAAAGGUGUUAAUUCAUCCAGACAGCCGGACGGUGGCCAUGGAAGUCGGAAUCCGCUAAGGAGUGUGUAACAACUCACCGGCCGAAUGAAUUAGCCCUGAAAAUGGAUGGCGCUCAAGCGUGCUACCCAUACCUCGCCGCCCGGGUGGGUUCGAUGCCCGGGCGAGUAGGCAGGCGUGGGGGUCCGUGACGAAGCCUCGGGGGUGACCUCGGGUCGAACGGCCCCUAGUGC